GAAACAUCUACAGUAUAACAAAUAUUAUAUGAAGUAUCAUAUCAUCUGCAUACAGACUGAUCUUGUUUCAUCUGUUAGUACAAAAACUUUUUUAAAUCCCCAACAUUCAUUAUCUGUCUCAGUUUGUUUGGUUGUGUCGGCAGUGUGGUGUUAAAGGUUUUAUUGUAUCAGCAGUGUGGUGUUAAUAAAGGUGGUUUUCUAUCAGCAGUGUGGUGUUAAUAAAGGUGGUUUUCUAUCAGCAGUGUGGUGUUAAUAAAGGUUUUAUUGUAUCAGCAGUGUGGUGUUAAUAAAGGUUUUAUUGUAUCAGCAGUGUGGUGUUAAUAAAGGUUUUAUUGUAUCAGCAGUGUGGUGUUAAUAAAGGUUUUAUUGUAUCAGCAGUGUGGUGUUAAUAAAGGUUUUAUUGUAUCAGCAGUGUGGUGUUAAUAAAGGUUUUAUUGUAUCAGCAGUGUGGUGUUAAUAAAGGUUUUAUUGUAUCAGCAGUGUGGUGUUAAUAAA